rnacentral:rRNA from 1 species
GUUGGGAAUCUUGCGCAAUGGGGGCAACCCUGACGCAGCGACGCCGCGUGCGGGAUGACGGUCUUCGGAUUGUAAACCGCUUUUCCCAGGGACGAUAAUGACGGUACCUGGGGAAUCAGCCCCGGCUAACUCCGUGCCAGCAGCCGCGGUAAGACGGAGGGGGCAAGCGUUGUCCGGAAUUACUGGGCGUAAAGCGCUCGUAGGCGGUCGCGUACGGCGGUGGUGAAAGCUCCCGGCUCAACUGGGAGAGGCCCGCCGCAACGGCGUGACUCGAGGGUGGUAGAGGCAGAUGGAAUUCCUGGUGUAGCGGUGAAAUGCGUAGAGAUCAGGAGGAACACCCGUGGCGAAGGCGGUCUGCUGGGCCACACCUGACGCUGAGGAGCGAAAGCUAGGGGAGCGAACGGGAUUAGAUACCCCAGUAGUCC